UACAUGCAAGUCGAACGAAUGGAUGUCUAGCUUGCUAGACUGAAGUUAGUGGCGAACGGGUGAGUAAUACAUAGGCAAUCUGCCCUGAAGUGUGGGAUAGCUAUUGGAAACGAUAAUUAAUACCGCAUAGGUAGUAGGAAGGCAUCCUCCUGCUAUUAAAGAUGCGUCUGCAUCGCUGCAGGAUGAGCUUAUGGUGUAUUAGCUAGUUGGUGAGAUAAAAGCCCACCAAGGCUAUGAUACAUAGCUGGUCUGAGAGGAUGAACAGCCACAUUGGGACUGAGACACGGCCCAGACUCCUACGGGAGGCAGCAGUAAGGAAUUUUCGGCAAUGGGGGCAACCCUGACCGAGCAACGCCGCGUGAGUGAUGAAGGUCUUCGGAUCGUAAAACUCUGUUGUAAAGGAAGAAUGUCAUAUAUAGGAAAUGAUAUAUGAGUGACGGUACUUUACUAGAAAGUCACGGCUUACUACGUG
rnacentral:rRNA from 1 species